CCUGUAAUCAGGGUCUGGGUGCGCGAGCGUUUGUGCUCUGCUGGCAGCCUGUGUGGGGUGACCGCCCCGCUAGCGGGGUGUGGGUCGAGGUGCCCCGGACUGGGAGAGAAGGAGCCUCCCUCGGCCGUAGGGAUGGGGGCUGCCCUGUAAGUCAGGGAGCAUCUGUGUCCCGGAGUCCCAGGCCCUUUUCAAUGGCGGCAGUGGCCGGGGGUCCCCUGUAAGCAGGGAAGCUGACUCUUUGGCUGCUGCUUUUUGUGUGCCCAGCCCCAUUUGCCCAGCCUGCCCGCCUCUGUGAUCCCCCGCAGCACCGGCUGGAAGUCCGCCGUGCGUCAGUGAGGAGCUGCUGCAGAAGAAAGAAGAAGCGGCGUGGGGACCUGGGCUGCAAAAUCAAGAUGGGGUAUCUGUUGACUGUUUUUCUUGUAUUUCUUUGCCUUUUGGAGCCACAGUUUUGAACGGUUGUGUAAGACUUUAUCACUCUUUUUGUCAGCGUCGUCAGCUGUGAAUAAAGUUUUUUUUCCAUGUUGUUUUUCCUGU
rnacentral:lncRNA from 1 species